GAACGAUGAUGCCAGCUUGCUGGUGGAUUAGUGGCGAACGGGUGAGUAACACGUGAGUAACCUGCCCUUGACUCUGGGAUAAGCCUGGGAAACUGGGUCUAAUACCGGAUAUGACCUUCCAUCGCAUGGUGGUUGGUGGAAAGCUUUUGUGGUUUUGGAUGGACUCGCGGCCUAUCAGCUUGUUGGUGGGGUAAUGGCCUACCAAGGCGACGACGGGUAGCCGGCCUGAGAGGGUGACCGGCCACACUGGGACUGAGACACGGCCCAGACUCCUACGGGAGGCAGCAGUGGGGAAUAUUGCACAAUGGGCGCAAGCCUGAUGCAGCGACGCCGCGUGAGGGAUGACGGCCUUCGGGUUGUAAACCUCUUUCAGUAGGGAAGAAGCGAAAGUGACGGUACCUGCAGAAGAAGCGCCGGCUAACUACGUGCCAGCAGCCGCGGUAAUACGUAGGGCGCAAGCGUUAUCCGGAAUUAUUGGGCGUAAAGAGCUCGUAGGCGGUUUGUCGCGUCUGCCGUGAAAGUCCGGGGCUCAACUCCGGAUCUGCGGUGGGUACGGGCAGACUAGAGUGAUGUAGGGGAGACUGGAAUUCCUGGUGUAGCGGUG
rnacentral:rRNA from 1 species